AGAGUUUGAUCCUGGCUCAGGAUGAACGCUAGCGGCAGGCUUAACACAUGCAAGUCGAGGGGUAAGGUCUUUUCGGAGAUACACGACCGGCGCACGGGGGAGUAACGAACGCGUAUGCAACCUACCUUUAACAGAGAGAUAGCCCGAAGAAAUUCGGAUUAAUACCUCAUAACAUUUAAAAUUGGCAUCAAUUUUAUUUUAAAGCUACGGCGGUUAAAGAUGGGCAUGCGUGACAUUAGUUAGAUGGUAAGGUAACGGCUUACCAUGACAUCGAUGUCUAUGGGGUCUUAAAGGAUGGUCCCACACACUGGUACUGAGACACGGACCAGACUCCUACGGGAGGCAGCAGUGAGGAAUAUUGGUCAAUGGACGCAAGUCUGAACCAGCCAUGCCGCGUGCAGGAAGACGGCCCUACGGGUUGUAAACUGCUUUUGUAUGGGAAGAAACGACUCUACGUGUAGAGUUCUGACGGUACCGUAUGAAUAAGCACCGGCUAACUCCGUGCCAGCAGCCGCGGUAAUACGGAGGGUGCAAGCGUUAUCCGGAUUUAUUAGGUUUAAAGGGUGUGUAGGCGGACUUUUAAGUCAGUGGUGAAAUCCUACAGCUUAACUGUAGAACUGCCAUUGAUACUGAAAGUCUUGAGUGUGGUUGAGGUAGGCGGAAUGUGUUGUGUAGCGGUGAAAUGCUUAGAUAUAACACAGAACACCAAUUGCGAAGGCAGCUUACUAAACCAUAACUGACGCUCAUGGACGAAAGCGCGGGGAGCGAACAGGAUUAGAUACCCUGGUAGUCCGCGCCGUAAACGAUGAUUACUCGUUGUGCGCGAUACACAGUGCGUGACUGAGCGAAAGCAUUAAGUAAUCCACCUGGGGAGUACGUUCGCAAGAAUGAAACUCAAAGGAAUUGACGGGGGCCCGCACAAGCGGAGGAACAUGUGGUUUAAUUCGAUGAUACGCGAGGAACCUUACCCGGGCUUAAAUGCAGAAUGACCGUUGCCGAAAGGUGAUUUCCCUUCGGGGCAAUUUGCAAGGUGCUGCAUGGCUGUCGUCAGCUCGUGCCGUGAGGUGUCGGGUUAAGUCCCAUAACGAGCGCAACCCCUAUCACUAGUUGCCAGCGGAUAAUGCCGGGGACUCUAGUGAGACUGCCACCGUAAGGUGUGAGGAAGGUGGGGAUGACGUCAAGUCAGCACGGCCCUUAUGUCCGGGGCUACACACGUGUUACAAUGGCAAGUACAAAGAGUCGCUACCUGGUGACAGGAUGCUAAUCUCAAAAAACCGAUCUCAGUUCGGAUCGAAGUCUGCAACUCGACUUCGUGAAGUUGGAUUCGCUAGUAAUCGUAUAUCAGCAACGAUACGGUGAAUACGUUCCCGGGCCUUGUACACACCGCCCGUCAAGCCAUGGAAGCUGGGGGUGCCUGAAGUCUGUAACCGGAAGGAGCGGCCUAGGGUAAAACUGGUGACUGGGGCUAAGUCGAAACAAGGUAACC
rnacentral:rRNA from 1 species